CAAUGUUGAGGUUGAUUUCUCUUUCUUUGUCUUUCCUCUGGGGACUGCAUGUAAGGUUUGAAGCAAGGGAUAUUGUUCUUGGUAAAGGGAUUUCUCUGCUAACCUUUUAAUAGCUCUCCACCUUGUACUCUUGUCUUCAGUGUCCAGUUGCUCCAUUGCAGUAGAAUUCUUCAUGAAUGAUCAGAGGCUGUAAGAAGACAAUGUUUUGGCUUCUAAGCAAGAGACUGCCUUCAAGGACCUACAUGUUUUCUGGUAGCUGAAUCUUAAUCAGGGCUCUGCUGGUGUGGAACUGUGGAGUCACAAAGAAGUGCAAUGGUUAAGUAGCCAUGAACAGACAUUUUUGUCUGAAUUGCUCCUUAAAUUUAAUAGCCAGUUUGUCACGACGUCUGCACUUCCCACAAAUUCUGCUCACUUAAAUCUCCUUUCAUAGGAAGUGCAGUAUGGACUCUGACAUGAUGCAUCUGCCUGUGCUCAUUAGCACAAUCCUUAUUUAUUUAUUUAAUUUAUUUAUUUUAUUUUUUUCUUAGGAUCAACAAGUUCUGGAGCAAACUGCAGUGCUGAAGCAUGUCACUUAGGUGAUAUAUAUGGACUGGGCAACGUGAACUGCCAGACUGAUGUAGAGUUUAGAUCCUGAUGCUGCUCUUCCCUGCUCUAAUAUGAGGAUCUGAAGCACAGAGAGACUAAAUAACUUGCCCAAGGUCAACAGGAAGUCUGUGACAGAGCAAAGCUGGGUCUCCCAAGUUUUGGGCUAGUGCCCUAAUAAUUGGACCAGCCUUCUUCUCUAACCAUGGCAGAAUCCUGCUUCUGUACCACAUUUGUUUCAUCCAUAGA